UACAGAGGGGGCAAGCGUUGUUCGGAAUUACUGGGCGUAAAGGGCGCGUAGGCGGCCUGCUAAGUCGAUCGUGAAAUCCCCGGGCUCAACCCGGGAACUGCGACCGAUACUGGUUGGCUUGAAUCCGGGAGAGGGAUGCGGAAUUCCAGGUGUAGCGGUGAAAUGCGUAGAUAUCUGGAGGAACACCGGUGGCGAAGGCGGCAUCCUGGACCGGUAUUGACGCUGAGGCGCGAAAGCCAGGGGAGCAAACGGG
rnacentral:rRNA from 1 species